CCUACGGGAGGCAGCAGUGGGGAAUAUUGGGCAAUGGGCGCAAGCCUGACCCAGCAACGCCGCGUGAAGGAAGAAGGCUUUCGGGUUUUAAACUUCUUUUGUCAUGGACGAAGCAAGUGACGGUACCUGACGAAUAAGCCACGGCUAACUACGUGCCAGCAGCCGCGGUAAUACUUAGGUGGUAAGCCUUAUCCGGUGUUACUGGGUGUAAGGGGCGUGUAGGCGGGACUGCAAGUCAGAGUUGAAAACCACGGGCUCAACCUGUGGCCUGAAUUUGAAACUGGAGUUCUUGAGUACUGGAGAGGCAGACGGAAUUCCUGGUGUAGCGGUGAAAUGCGUAGAUAUUAGGAGGAACACCAGUGGCGAAGGCGGUCUGCUGGACAGUAACUGACGCUGAGGCGCGAAAGCGUGGGGAGCAAACAGGAUUAGAUACCCCGGUAGUC
rnacentral:rRNA from 1 species